rnacentral:rRNA from 1 species
GGGGAAUAUUGGACAAUGGGCGAAAGCCUGAUCCAGCAAUGCCGCGUGAGUGAUGAAGGCCUUAGGGUUGUAAAGCUCUUUUACCCGGGAUGAUAAUGACAGUACCGGGAGAAUAAGCUCCGGCUAACUCCGUGCCAGCAGCCGCGGUAAUACGGAGGGAGCUAGCGUUGUUCGGAAUUACUGGGCGUAAAGCGCACGCAGGCGGCUUUGUAAGUUAGAGGUGAAAGCCCGGAGCUCAACUCCGGAAUAGCCUUUAAGACUGCAUCGCUUGAAUCCGGGAGAGGUGAGUGGAAUUCCGAGUGUAGAGGUGAAGUUCGUAGAUAUUCGGAAGAACACCAGUGGCGAAGGCGGCUCACUGGACCGGUAUUGACGCUGAGGUGCGAAAGCGUGGGGAGCAAA